rnacentral:rRNA from 1 species
UUUGGUUAAGUUAGAAAGGGCGCACGGUGGAUGCCUUGACACUAGGAGUCGAUGAAGGACGGGACUAACGCCGAUAUGCUUCGGGGAGCUGUAAGUAAGCUUUGAUCCGAAGAUUUC